rnacentral:rRNA from 1 species
UACAGAGGGUGCGAGCGUUAAUCGGAAUUACUGGGCGUAAAGGGCGCGUAGGCGGUUUGGUCAGUCGGAUGUGAAAGCCCCGGGCUUAGCCUGGGAAUGCCAUUCGAUACUGCCUGACUUGAGUAUGGUAGAGGGAAGCGGAAUUCCGGGUGUAGCGGUGAAAUGCGUAGAGAUCCGGAGGAACACCAGUGGCGAAGGCGGCUUCCUGGACCAAUACUGACGAUGAGGCGCGAAAGCGUGGGGAGCAAACAGG